GAGUUUGAUCCUGGCUCAGGAUGAACGCUGGCGGCGUGCUUAACACAUGCAAGUCGAGCGGAGCACAUCGUUGGAAUCCUUCGGGAGGAAGAGGAUGUGGCUUAGCGGCGGACGGGUGAGUAACGCGUGGACAACCUGCCCUAUGCAGGGGGAUAACAUCCGGAAACGGGUGCUAAUACCGCAUAAGCGCACAGUACCGCAUGGUACAGUGUGAAAAGCUGAGGCGGCAUAGGAUGGGUCCGCGUUGGAUUAGGCAGUUGGCGGGGUAACGGCCCACCAAACCGACGAUCCAUAGCCGGCCUGAGAGGGUGGACGGCCACAUUGGGACUGAGACACGGCCCAGACUCCUACGGGAGGCAGCAGUGGGGAAUAUUGCACAAUGGGGGGAACCCUGAUGCAGCGACGCCGCGUGGGUGAGGAAGUACUUCGGUAUGUAAAGCCCUAUCAGCAGGGAAGAAAAUGACGGUACCUGACUAAGAAGCCCCGGCUAACUACGUGCCAGCA
rnacentral:rRNA from 1 species